AGGACGAACGCUGGCGGCGUGCUUCAUACAUGCAAGUCGAACGAGAAAUCAACUUCGGUUGGUGGAAAGUGGCGGACGGGUGAGUAAUGUGUAGAGAAUCUGCCCUUAGCGGGGGACAACAGUUGGAAACGACUGCUAAUACCCCAUAUGCGCGUAGUUGCAAUACUAUUCGUGAAAACUCCGGUGCUAAAGGAUGAGUCUGCAUCUGAUUAGCUAGUUGGCGGUGUAAUGGACCACCAAGGCGACGAUCAGUAGCUGGUUUGAGAGGAUGAUCAGCCACAAUGGGACUGAGACACGGCCCAUACUCCUACGGGAGGCAGCAGUAGGGAAUUUUGCGCAAUGGGCGAAAGCCUGACGCAAGCAACGCCGCGUGAUUGAAUAAGCCCUUCGGGGUGUAAAGAUCUGUCAGUGGGGACGAAACUUGACGGUACCCACAGAGGAAGCAUCGGCUAACUCCGUGCCAGCCGCAGC
rnacentral:rRNA from 1 species